rnacentral:rRNA from 1 species
UACGUAGGGUGCAAGCGUUGUCCGGAAUUAUUGGGCGUAAAGGGCUCGUAGGCGGUUUGUCGCGUCGGGAGUGAAAACACCGGGCUUAACUCGGUGCUUGCUUUCGAUACGGGCAGACUAGAGGUAUGCAGGGGGAGAACGGAAUUCCUGGUGUAGCGGUGAAAUGCGCAGAUAUCAGGAGGAACACCGGUGGCGAAGGCGGUUCUCUGGGCAUUACCUGACGCUGAGGAGCGAAAGUGUGGGGAGCGAACAGG